rnacentral:rRNA from 1 species
UACGUAGGGGGCAAGCGUUAUCCGGAUUUACUGGGUGUAAAGGGAGCGUAGACGGCGAAGCAAGUCCGAAGUGAAAACCCGGGGCUCAACCCCGGGACUGCUUUGGAAACUGUUUUGCUAGAGUGCUGGAGAGGUAAGUGGAAUUCCUAGUGUAGCGGUGAAAUGCGUAGAUAUUAGGAGGAACACCAGUGGCGAAGGCGGCUUACUGGACAGUAACUGACGUUGAGGCUCGAAAGCGUGGGGAGCAAACAGG